UUUAUGGAGAGUUUGAUCCUGGCUCAGGAUGAACGCUGGCGGCGUGCCUAAUACAUGCAAGUCGAGCGAACGGACGAGAAGCUUGCUUCUCUGAUGUUAGCGGCGGACGGGUGAGUAACACGUGGAUAACCUACCUAUAAGACUGGGAUAACUUCGGGAAACCGGAGCUAAUACCGGAUAAUAUUUUGAACCGCAUGGUUCAAAAGUGAAAGACGGUCUUGCUGUCACUUA
rnacentral:rRNA from 1 species